GACGAACGCUGGCGGCGUGCCUAAUACAUGCAAGUAGAACGCUGAAGGAGGAGCUUGCUUCUCUGGAUGAGUUGCGAACGGGUGAGUAACGCGUAGGUAACCUGCCUGGUAGCGGGGGAUAACUAUUGGAAACGAUAGCUAAUACCGCAUAAUAGCAGUUGUUGCAUGAUAACUGUUUGAAAGGUGCAAUUGCACCACUACCAGAUGGACCUGCGUUGUAUUAGCUAGUUGGUGGGGUAACGGCUCACCAAGGCGACGAUACAUAGCCGACCUGAGAGGGUGAUCGGCCACACUGGGACUGAGACACGGCCCAGACGCCUACGGGAGGCAGCAGUAGGGAAUCUUCGGCAAUGGACGGAAGUCUGACCGAGCAACGCCGCGUGAGUGAAGAAGGUUUUCGGAUCGUAAAGCUCGGUUGUAAGAGAAGAACGAGUGUGAGAGUGGAAAGUUCACACUGUGACGGUAUCUUACCAGAAAGGGACGGCUAACUACGUG
rnacentral:rRNA from 1 species